UCCUGGGGAGAGAGAAACAAUGUGUAAUUACACAGCUGAAAUGACAUACAAUUGCAUACUUGAGAAUGUUUGUGUUUGAGGUGGGAGGAUAUACACAAAAAGUUCUCAGAGUUGCUUGCAUCAUGGCAAUUAAUUUGUUUAAAUUUAUCUGUGUUUUUUUUUUUUUCCUUCUGUGAAUUAUACUUGCUCGUAUUUACUGGUGGUGCUAUCAGAGAAGCAAUGUGACUUGGCUAGCUUUCAAAUCCCAUUAAGGUUUCUAAAUGUCUGUUCAGAUUAUUUUGGUUUGAGUGCUUACAUGAAGACAGAUUGACAGAUACUGUGUAGUGAUUGAUUACCUUCCCUUGUUAGCCUUAUGUCUUUCCCCAGGGCAGGUCUUUUUCACACAACAGUGCUUAUUUGUAGGACGAAUAGUGAAGAAUAUCCUACCCAGGGCCAUCUGUUGAUCAGGAUACUAUUCUAGGUUUCAUCACUUCCUCAUAAUGUUUACAACAGUUUCAUAAUAGAGACGGUAUGUUUUAAGAGCCAGCUUUCCCCAUAAGUUCUUAUAUAACCAAAAAUUUCAAAGAACCUUUCACCCAAGAAGUCCAAACCGUAUGAAAAAAAUAUCACUACUUCAAAGAGCUCUUGAACAAGGCAUUAGUUCCAAUUUUAAGCUAAGAACUCACAUCCCUUCUUUGUAAUGCUCAGAAAACAGUGAAACUAACAUCCCUUGCAAGUGAGCUUUCUGUAAAUGAGAGAAGUUAACAAAACAAAAGGCUGAAAUGAGUAAAUUCUAGAAAUUGUAGCUUUAGAUCAUCAAAGUAAUUGGACAGAGUACUAUUAAUGUAUGAAUAUGUACCUCCCAAGAACAGUAGAGGCUUCCAGGGAUGGAGUCACCAUCCCUGAAUGUGUUUAAAAACCAUCUGGAUGUGGUGCUAAGGGACAUGAUUUAGUGGAGGGUUGUUAGAGUUAGGGUAGUAUGGUUAGGCUGUAGUUGGACUCGAUGAUCUUUGAGAUCUUUUCCAACUUGAGAGAUUCCAUGAUUCUAUGAUCAUCUUUAUAGCACUCUCUGACUCUCUCUAGAAUCUCCCUUGUCUUUCUUGAACUGGAGAGACCAGAACUGGGCACGGUACUCCGUGUGGCCUCACUGGGGCAGAGUAAAGGGGGAAGAUUAUCUCUCUACCUGCUGGCCGUGCUCUUUUUAAUACACCCCAGGAUAUCACUGAUUUCUUGGACACAAGGACACACUGCUGGCUCAUGGCCAACCUGUUGACCAUAAGGAUACAGAAGUCUUUCUUUUCACAGUGGAGAAAGUACUCCAAACUUUUGUUUGUUUUGUUUUUUGUUUGGCCAGACACAUUUUGGCCUUGGAUGAAAUUAGUCCUUUCAAUACUUAGAGACCUCAUUGCAUUCAGACCUUUAUUUAGAACAACAUACAGCCUUCCAAACAAAUCUAACUACAAAAGUGUAAUCUGAAGAACCUCAUUGUCUGCUUUGUUUUAAAAUAAGGAAUUUGUACUUAUUCUUACUCACGCAUUUUCAGUCUUCUCUUGCCCUCUUUUCGUUGUGCUUGCAAGCCUUCCCUAAGAAACCCACUCAGAAUCAGCAGUUUCUUCUUCAUUUUCCACAUCCAGGGAGGCAAGUGAAAUUAAUGAAUCUAGACUGAUUUCCAACUGUUCUAGCUGAGAAAGAGGUGAAACUCGCACUGUGGUUGUACCGUGGCUUUUAGCCACACCUUAGGACAGCAAGUGGGGAAUAAUUAGGGUGCAAAUGAAAAUAUAUAUAUACUGAUUUUCCUAAUGACAUGUGUGUGAACAGCGGGGCUUACUGGGAGUCCCAAAAUGUCUCACUGAAGGCAGCCCAGGCUGGUUCAUAAAAUUCCCUUUUAGAAACUGCCCCUGCAAAGGCUCAGCGCAGGUGGUGUUGGUUACAUGAGGGGGCCUUGCCUUGUCAGGUGUUCAGUGCACCUCAGCUAUACGGUCAAAAUCUGGACUGAAUCAUUAUCAAAUCCAGCAACGUUUUAUUCUGCCAUUUGUUUGCCCCUGUCAGUUUGACCACAGGAUUAUGUAGGUGAAAAAUACAAAUGACUACUAUGUGGCAGAUUGAGUUCGACAAAUCUCACAAACCACACCUGAUCUGUUACAACUCAGUCAAACAACCUAGCAGAGUUUCACCUUCCAAAAUGCAGAGGAAGCCCAACAGUCUCAUUUUCAACAGUGCCAUGACAGUGAAUGCAGAUGGAUGCGCAAACAUGCCAUAUAUUUAUGUCAUUCAUUAUGAACAAUGUAAGGGGUUUAAUGUGAUAUUCAGAAAGGUCAUGAAGUUUCAGAUAAUGUUCUGUCUUCCUUAGUUUUCCACGGGAGAGAAAUUUAAUACCUAUACAGCACAAUGAAGAGAUUUAUAUUCAGAAAUAUUAUUUUGCUGUCCAAAUGGAUGGGAUUUUUUUUCUCUGCUGCUGCUUGGACUUUCACAGUGUAGCAGUGCUUAAUAGUGAUUCGUCUGAGGCUUUUAGCACCCUACUGCUUUCUAUUUCAAUUUGCUGUCUUUUCCAUGAUCUAUGAAGAGGUGAACAGCCAGGUUUGCAGUGGCAACUUCCCCAUCCUCCUCUGCGUGGAUUUCCCUCCUAGGAGCAGCCAAGCUUCCCUACUGCUGCCUUAUGGCUGUUUGGCUAAAGAAUGAUGGUGGCGGUCACAAUAAACCUCUCGGGCAGUUUUCCAGAGUACUCAUCCCUGCAGUGACUUUGCUAACAAAGCUUGCAGAAAUUUGUGUUCCUAAUGAACCUACUUUCUGCUAUGGAUAUCUCAAAGUAGACUUCUCCUGGCACCAGUUGCCCGCAGGUCGAAGAGGAAGAGCGUUUUUAUACAAUGCCAUUACCAUGAGGAAAAAAAAAAAAAAGAAAAAAAAAAGAAUAAAACUUUAUGGUUAUAUUCAGCACUUAGUUAAAAGAUGGAUGACCCUACAUGGUAAAUGAAGGGAUAAAUGGUCAUUUUUCUUACAGACUGUGCUGCAGCCUUUAAAUCAGCAAAAACAUAAUUUUUUAAUUCUUCUAACACAGCUUCCUGAUAAGCUUGCUGUGAAUUCAUUGCAUGUUUUCAAACUCAUGACUGUAGUACUGAAGAAUAUAAUCCAAACAGAUGGAUGAUUAAUUACAUGAGAAGUAAUUAAAAAGAAACACGAUUUCAUGCUUUAUAAAGUAUCAGGAUUUUUGGUAGUUGUCUUGUUCUCUGUGUCCUGUAGAACUUACCGAUAAAUUAUAAUACAGAUACCAAUACUUCAAACCAGUCAAGAAAAAUUAAAGAGUUUCAUUUAUGCAAUCUGAAAUUAGUUUGGAGUACUAAAAAAUUAAGACAAUUAAAAUUUGGGACAUCUCAGCUGCCUGAUUAAACAUGCAACAAGAUGUGUGACUGACACUCCUCUCCAAUCUUCAUUUAUUUGUUAAAUAUUAAAAAACUCCUCAGAUGUAUAUAAGCCAUCUGCUGUUCUCACAUUUAUUGAACCUUGCUAUAAUAUGCAUCUGCAAAGCAUUCUCAUUUGAUGCCAUUAACUAUGGAAAUUUGCUCAUGAAAUUUUUCAGUAGAAAAACCUCAUGUUUUCUAGACACUUCUGAUUAUGGCCCAAUCUUCUUUUCUCUUUUGUCUGCAGCAGGUCUAUUUUGAUCAUCACAGCUAUGCUGCAGACUGCUUUGGUACUAAAUAACCCUGACUGAGGCUCUGCGACCAGGAUGGGUCCUUCUCACUGAUGUUAUUUUCUCAGUGCAUUGCAGACAUUUCCACCUGGAGAUGGGGCCCUUGCACAGCCAAUGGUCUACAGAGCCAGAGUUCUGGAUGCUGAAUGUCACUGUCCAGCAUUGCCAGAGGACACAGCAGAGGAGCACAGUGAUGUUAACAUUGCUGUGUUAUUGGUCACACAGCAGCCUCACUGUUUGGGUCCCAGUAUUUGCAUGGACAUAGCACCACAGCCCACUGCCAAUGAGGACGAGUCAACAAGAAAAUUAAGUUGCCACAUCCACUGAGGAAGCUGGGUCUUCAUUCUUCUGCAAGAGGACAAAGACGCAUCUACACACUAUUUAUUUACUAACGUGUUGCUCCAGGCAAGUUUUCAUCAGUCAUUCUGAAAACCAUUAUAGAAGAGAUUUCCUCAGGUAUUCAGGAGUUGACCAUUCUCUGAACAGCCUGAAGCUGAAUUGGAAGAUCACAAAAGAAGAAAGGAAAGAUUUAGAAGUACAUUUGUUUCAUGUUUCUCAGGCUUGUUCCUGGAUGGGAUUGGAAUACCCAAAUAUAGAAGUUGAUUACCUGUCAGGUGACUGGGCUUCCAAAUUUCUAAGUUCCUCAUAAAAAAAUCCAUAAACCUAAGUGAAAUGAAUCUACUUCUACACAUUCCUGAGUCCAACCGAUGGCUUUUAACAAACAAAUGAUUUCAGUGUAGCUGACAGGCUGGGCACAAUCUAACGGAUUGUAUGCUGCAGCCCCAUCGAUCCUCCUGGCUUUAAGUGCUGUUUCAAUGUGUAAUUCAUUCCAAUAAAAAAAUAUAAUCCAGUUGUUACUGGUAUAUUAUGAAUUUCUGAACAAAUUGUAAAUCAUCUUUUGGGCUUUUUUAGAGGUAAGGCUUUUAGGUCACUCUGAAAUCCAUGCCUGACAUUUAAGUGUAUAUUGCCCACAACCAGUACUGGAAUUUUGUGUUAGUUAUUCAACUGUAAAUGAAUAAUACUGCCUGUUACUGGUGUGACAGAAACAAAGAAAUGAUGCUUUUUGGAGAUGAUAACCAUGUGUUUCCAGCUAACCUACCAAAAACAGGCAGACACGGGAAUGUCUGAAUUGUCUGAAAGGACAAGUUCUUUGGGGCACUAAGUCAGAUCUGGGCUAAAUGUUAUGUUAGUAAUAUGUUUGCAAUAAAACAUAUUCAACUCUUAAAAA